CUAGGAAUCUUGCGCAAUGGGGGAAACCCUGACGCAGCGACGCCGCGUGGGCGAAGAAGGCCUUCGGGUUGUAAAGCCCUUUUAGCAGGGAAGAAAGCAAUGACGGUACCUGCAGAAAAAGCACCGGCUAACUCUGUGCCAGCAGCCGCGGUAAUACAGAGGGUGCAAGCGUUAUUCGGAAUUACUGGGCGUAAAGGGCGCGUAGGCGGCCGAGCAAGUCUGAUGUGAAAGCCCUGGGGUCAACUUAGGAAUUGCAUUGGAUACUGCCUGGCUUGAGUGUAGGAGAGGAGAGCGGAAUUCCUGGUGUAGAGGUGAAAUUCUUAGAUAUCAGGAGGAACACCGGUGGCGAAGGCGGCUCUCUGGACUAUUACUGACGCUGAGGCGCGAAAGCGUGGGGAGCAAACAGG
rnacentral:rRNA from 1 species